CUCCGGUUGAUCCUGCCGGACCCGACUGCUAUCAGAGUGGGACUAAGCCAUGCGAGUCAACGCAGCAAUGCGUGGCAUACGGCUCAGUAACACGUAGUCAACAUGCCCAGGGGACGUGGAUAACCUCGGGAAACUGAGGAUAAACCGCGAUAGGCCAAAGUUUCUGGAAUGGACACUGGCUGAAACCUACAUGGCCCCUGGAUUGGACUGCGGCCGAUCAGGCUGUUGGUGAGGUAAUGGCCCACCAAACCUGUAACCGGUACGGGCUCUGAGAGGAGGAGCCCGGAGAUGGGCACUGAGACAAGGGCCCAGGCCCUAUGGGGCGCAGCAGGCGCGAAACCUCUGCAAUAGGCGAAAGCCUGACAGGGUUACUCUGAGUGAUUUCCGUUAAGGAGAUCUUUUGGCACCUCUAAAAAUGGUGCAGAAUAAGGGGUGGGCAAGUCUGGUGUCAGCCGCCGCGGUAAUACCAGCACCCCGAGUGGUCGGGACGUUUAUUGGGCCUAAAGCAUCCGUAGCCGGUUCUACAAGUCUUCCGUUAAAUCCACCUGCUUAACAGAUGGGCUGCGGAAGAUACUAUAGAGCUAGGAGGCGGGAGAGGCAAGCGGUACUCGAUGGGUAGGGGUAAAAUCCGUUGAUCCAUUGAAGACCACCAGUGGCGAAGGCGGCUUGCCAGAACGCGCUCGACGGUGAGGGAUGAAAGCUGGGGGAGCAAACCGGAUUAGAUACCCGGGUAGUCCCAGCUGUAAACGAUGCAGACUCGGUGAUGAGUUGGCUUCUUGCCAACUCAGUGCCGCAGGGAAGCCGUUAAGUUUGCCGCCUGGGGAGUACGGUCGCAAGACUGAAACUUAAAGGAAUUGGCGGGGGAGCA
rnacentral:rRNA from 1 species